rnacentral:sRNA from 1 species
GGAUAGCUCGUCGUAGAUUGAAUAUCAACACACAGAACUCAGGAGUCACCGUGAGAGAUAUUCUGUUGGACAAUAAACUGUGCAUAUGAACACUGUCUGUUAAUGUUUGUUUAAUAUAAAUGGAAAUUUAGAUAAGAUGCGAUCUAAAAAAUGGCCGCAAGGAAACCAGUGUCUGUGUAAUAUAUCUGUGUUGAAAUACCACGAAAUUCUGUAGAAAUGGAUUUAUUAGUGUCAUUUGGACUGAAUCUAGAAAGUAUGUUUUAAAAUUCUCGUAUGGCUUCAGUCAUUUAGAUCAACCAUUGACUUAUUUGUGAGCUAUAGGUGCAUAUUAAAGUCAAACAUUUAGUGUGUUAUUGAAGUUUCGAGAUGGUAUCGAGGCUAAUCUAGUACUUGGCAGCCUUAAGAUUCUGAAACGGAAGUACAAACUGCAGACGAUUUCUUCUCCUAGGAUUAUAAUGUAAACAAAGACUCUCAGAUUUAUGUGGAAUAUCAGAGAAUGUGGAGGUCAAGAGAAAACUGUGCCUAAAACAAUGUUAACUGACACAUGCCAAUGUUGUCGUGGUCAACAAGGUCAAGAGCAACCACCAACACAUCUUAUUCAGUGAUAGUGACCAUUAAAAAUAUCGUAUUUCCAACUGCAGGAAACUAUCAAUCAAAAGGCAAGUCACAAACGUAAUAAAUAGACUUUCAAUUCUUAACAUAAUCAUCUGCUUGACGCCAGGUUUAAAUGCACGUCUUUAAUUUCAAAAAACUUAAUGGCUGGGGAUUUUACGUACAGGUUUGUACUAUUUGAAAUCUAUCUCCUCUAGGCAACAUUGUUACUCAAUUUAAAUCAACUCACUCUGUCUGUCUGUCUGAUAAAAAGAUUGUACAAGUUAUUUCUCC